rnacentral:tRNA from 1 species
GGGUCUGUAGCUCAGGUGGUUAGAGCGCCUGCCUUGCACGCAGGAGGUCUGCGGUUCGAUCCCGCAUAGCUCCACCA